UUUCCUACAAACUAUAUUUUAUGUAUGUGAAAUAAUAAAAUUGAUAAAAAAAGAAGAAGAAGAGAUAGUUGUAAAUAGCAUAUCCAUUAUGUACCUGAUGAUGAGAAGUGAAGAGCGCAUAGUUGCCAAAUAAAAUCUGAAAUAUAGAGAAAUAAAUAAGAAUUAGUUAGCAAACUCAAGGAAAUCUUCAUAUAUUAAAUAUAUAUUGUUGAGAACUAAAAUGAACAUAAGAGGAAUAAAGUAGUUACCAAUCAACAAUAUAUAUUUAUAUAUUCAAACUUUUAUGGCAUAUAGCUGCUAAUCUAUAUAUUAUAUAAAGCUUAAAGAUGAAAGAUUAAUGUGACCUGAGUUGUACAAAAUCAC
rnacentral:lncRNA from 1 species